GGUUCCGGUGAAAGUGGCGCACGGGUGAGUAACGCGUGGGAACCUGCCCAAAGGUAAGGAAUAACCGCGGGAAACUGCGGCUAAUACCUUAUGCUCCCUUCGGGGGAAAGAUUUAUCGCCUUUGGAUGGGCCCGCGUCGGAUUAGCUAGUUGGUGAGGUAACGGCUCACCAAGGCGACGAUCCGUAGCUGGUCUGAGAGGAUGAUCAGCCACACUGGGACUGAGACACGGCCCAGACUCCUACGGGAGGCAGCAGUGGGGAAUAUUGGACAAUGGGCGCAAGCCUGAUCCAGCAAUGCCGCGUGAGUGAUGAAGGCCUUAGGGUUGUAAAGCUCUUUCGGCGGGGAAGAUGAUGACGGUACCCGCAGAAGAAGCCCCGGCUAACUUCGUGCCAGCAGCCGCGGUAAUACGAAGGGGGCUAGCGUUGUUCGGAAUUACUGGGCGUAA
rnacentral:rRNA from 1 species